rnacentral:lncRNA from 1 species
CGUAGAAUGGGCCUCACUGGCUAUCCAUACCGUAUCAUCAUCAUACCAUAACAUACGAGGACUAAAGGGUCAUUCAACAUCCAUCCACAUCAUCAUCAAGUUAUGCAAUGCAACAUAUUCGUGAAUUCUAAUGCAAACAACCUAGUAUAUCUCAUGGCAUACGUGAUGCAUGUAUCAUGCUCAAAAUUUAUUUAUUUGCUUUGAAACAUAAAGAGUUAUUCCACUCACCUCUGGCUGAAGCUCUAAUGACUCUGAAGCAGC